GAUACAACAUCGACUAUGUCGAAUAAAAUUCUAGAUAGAGUUAUGAUAAUGACAUUUUCUAUCUAUGUGUCUUGACCAAAUCACGUGCCAGCCGUCGCGGUAAUACGUGGAAGACUAGUGUUAUUCAUCUUUAAUAGGUUUAAAGGGUACUUAGACGGUCCAUUAAGCCCCAAAGGGUACUAAAAGACUAGAGUUUGAUGAGAGGGGGGGAGUACUAGAGAGUGUAGAGAUGAAAUUCUGUAAUACCUUACUUGGAACAGGCAACGGCGAAAGCAACCCCUUAUGUAAAAACUGA
rnacentral:rRNA from 1 species